rnacentral:lncRNA from 1 species
GAAUGGUGUUUUCGCUGAACGUCUCCCCGGUGAGCCGCAACAGAAUGUCCUUGAUACCCUCGGGCAGCUCGUCGCCGUCCAAGCUCGAGCGAGGGCUCGUGCUCGCCUUCUUCGCGUGCCUCACGCAGUGCGCCACCAGCGACGCCAGGUCAGCCUCGGACGUCUUCCCGUUGGCGUCGCCCCUCCCCUUGUUCACCAGGCCCCCGGGCGCCGCCGACACCGCCUUCCCAGCCCCGGUCACCGGCACGCCCUCCGUCACGCUCUUCUCCCUCGCCAGGUUGGGAUUGAAGGGAGACGCCGACGCCGUCAUCGACGACGCGCGACCCGCGCCGACCGUCGACGGGGCGGACAGCGCGGAUCGCACCGCCGACGUCGCGCCCGCCGGCUUGGCGUCCUUCUUGUUCGCGGGGUGGUACUUGUUAAU